UUCUCUUUUGGUGAAUAAAUAAUUUAGUGCAGUAUUACUUAUUGAUAAUUUGGUGAAUAAAUAAUAUGUUGGAAGUCCCUGUGGUAGCUCAUAGUUCUUUUUAAACGAACUAAAACCCUAAACCUCUCGCUGCGGCGUUUUCCUCGGUGAACGGCGGCUGCCGCGUCUUCCUCUCCAUCGGCGAAACAGCGUCUCCGCCCCCCCGAGUGGGAUUACCAAGCAGUAGGGAGUUAUUUGAUGCUAAAUUGGAGAAUAAAACUUACAGGAUUAUUACUCGAGUUUAGGAAAGAUUCCCAAAAAACAUUGCUACCAGUUGUCCAAAAGCCUGAUGGGAAGAAAAAUUUGAUGGUUUGUGAUCAGAUUUCUGUAAACAAUUUCUGCUGCUAAAUAGAUCUCUAGGUCUUUGUUUAUCUGUUAUAUCUCCUCUGACUACUCUAUGUUAUAUUUGAUAUUACUGAUUCUGAGGUAUCAAAUUUAGUUUAAUAUUUAAAUUUU